GAUGAACGCUGGCGGCGUGCCUAAUACAUGCAAGUCGAGCGAAUGGAUUAAGAGCUUGCUCUUAUGAAGUUAGCGGCGGACGGGUGAGUAACACGUGGGUAACCUGCCCAUAAGACUGGGAUAACUCCGGGAAACCGGGGCUAAUACCGGAUAACAUUUUGAACCGCAUGGUUCGAAAUUGAAAGGCGGCUUCGGCUGUCACUUAUGGAUGGACCCGCGUCGCAUUAGCUAGUUAGUGAGGUAACGGCUCACCAAGGCAACGAUGCGUAGCCGAACUGAGAGGGUGAUCGGCCAAACUGGGACGGAGACACGGCCCAGACUCCUACGGGAGGCAGCAGUAGGGAAUCUUCCGCAAUGGACGAAAGUCUGACGGAGCAACGCCGCGUGAGUGAUGAAGGCUUUCGGGUCGUAAAACUCUGUUGUUAGGGAAGAACAAGUGCUAGUCGAAUAAGCUGGCACCUUGACGGUACCUAACCAGAAAGCCACGGCUAACUACGUGCCAGCCGCCGCGGUAA
rnacentral:rRNA from 1 species